rnacentral:rRNA from 1 species
GACGAACGCUGGCGGCGUGCUUAACACAUGCAAGUCGAACGGAAAGGCCCUGAUUUUGUGGGGUGCUCGAGUGGCGAACGGGUGAGUAACACGUGAGUAACCUGCCCUUGACUUUGGGAUAACUUCAGGAAAAUGGGGAUAAUACCGGAUAGGAGCUUUUGAUGCAUGGUGGGGGUUGGAAAGUUUCGGCGGUUGUGGAUGGACUCGCGGCUUAUCAGCUUGUUGGUGGGGUAGUGGCUUACAAAGGCUUUGACGGGUAGCCGGCCUGAGAGGGUGACCGGCCACAUUGGGACUGAGAUACGGCCCAGUCUCCUACGUGAGGCAGCAGUGGGGAAUAUUGCACAAUGGGCGGAAGCCUGAUGCAGCAACGCCGCGUGCGGGAUGACGGCUUUCGGGUUGUAAACCGCUUUCGCCUGUGACGAAGCGUGAGUGACGGUAAUGGGUAAAGAAGCACCGGCUAACUACGUG